AUACCAUGAUGAGGACACCUUCUGAGCAAUUCCUUGAACAUUUCCUAAGCUUCGUACAAACUCUCAUCUUCAAUUUGAUGAAAUGAGGUAAUUUCAUUCCGUAAUUUU
rfam:Citrus sinensis cultivar Ridge Pineapple sweet orange scaffold00121_contig_34, whole genome shotgun sequence.